rnacentral:lncRNA from 1 species
ACGCAACAUUAGUGCGGAAAGUAAACGCUACUGUGCGUACUUCUCGUACCACCGGCCUGUACUGUCAGUACUUGCGUUGCCUAGUGAACCUCAAGAGUCCACACAACACGAGUAAUUCAACGAUCAUGAGAUCUGGACAUCGCUGCUGAUAGAGGAUACCGGCAUUUCUCGUCCUUGGCCUGACAAUCCAGCGGUAGUCAGUGUUGUUCUCUCAUCAUUUUUCCUGCAGUCGGGGCAACUCUACCGAUUUGAGUUUGGGUCUCGGCCUUGCUCCGGUAGAGCUCUGCUUUGUUCUUGCCAACAACCAACAAUGCUUUCGUUCAAACUGCUUCCAUCCAAGUGUUGGGAUAGUUUUCCUGGGAGAUAUCUGCAUUGCUCCGAUAUCAACGCUGGCAGCCCGGCGCGUAGAUCGUAGCUUCAUCAUUCUUCCUGCAGUCGGGGCAUCUCUGCCGUUUGAGUAUGGGUCUCGGCCUUACUCCGGUAGAGCUCUGCCUUGUUCUUGCCAACAACCAACAAUGCUUCCAUCCAAGUGCUGGGAUAGUUUGCCACCCGAUAUCUCGGACUGCGAUUCUUGGCUCAUCUGUGAGCGCCCACAUCCACAAAGGAUUCCACACAUCGUUGGAACUUUUCUUCCUCUGUGAGAAUUCUGCUUUGCUCCGAUAUCAACGCUGGCAGCCCGGCGCGUAGAUCGUAGCUUCAUCAUUUUUCCUGCAGUCGGGGCAUCUCUGCCGUUUGAGUAUGGGUCUCGGCUUUACUCCGGUAGAGCUCUGCCUUGUUCUUGCCAACAACCAACAAUGCUUCCAUCCAAGUGCUGGGAUAGUUUGCCACCCGAUAUCUCGGACUGUGAUUCUUGGCUCAUCUGUGAGCGCCUACAUCCACAAAGGAUUCCAACACCGUUGAAACUGUUUCUUCCUCUGGGAGAAUUCUGCUUUGCUCCGAUAUCAACGCUGGCAGCCCGGCACGUAGAUCGGACUCAAUCGUUAGUCAGCGAUUGUUGGAUACGUUCUCUCAUCAUCGAAAGCUCCAUCAUUUUUCCUGCAGUCGGGGCAUCUCUGCCGUUUGAGUAUGGGUCUCGGCCUUACUCCGGUAGAGCUCUGCCUUGUUCUUGCCAACAACCAACAAUGCUUCCGUCCAAGUGCUGGGAUAGUUUGCCACCCGAUAUCUCGGACUGUGAUUCUUGGCUCAUCUGUGAGCGCCUACAUCCACAAAGGAUUCCACACACCGUUGAAACUGUUUCUUCCUCUGGGAGAAUUCUGCUUUGCUCCGAUAUCAACGCUGGCAGCCCGGCACGUAGAUCGGACUCAAUCGUUAGUCAGCGAUUGUUGGAUACGUUCUCUCAUCAUCGAAAGCUCCAUCAUUUUUCCUGCAGUCGGGGCAUCUCUGCCGUUUGAGUAUGGGUCUCGGCCUUACUCCGGUAGAGCUCUGCCUUGUUCUUGCCAACAACCAACAAUGCUUCCAUCCAAGUGCUGGGAUAGUUUGCCACCCGAUAUCUCGGACUGCGAUUCUUGGCUCAUCUGUGAGCGCCUACAUCCACAAAGGAUUCCACACACCGUUGAAACUGUUUCUUCCUCUGGGAGAAUUCUGCUUUGCUCCGAUAUCAACGCUGGCAGCCCGGCACGUAGAUCGGACUCAAUCGUUAGUCAGCGAUUGUUGGAUACGUUCUCUCAUCAUCGAAAGCUCCAUCAUUUUUCCUGCAGUCGGGGCAUCUCUGCCGUUUGAGUAUGGGUCUCGGCCUUACUCCGGUAGAGCUCUGCCUUGUUCUUGCCAACAACCAACAAUGCUUCCAUCCAAGUGCUGGGAUAGUUUGCCACCCGAUAUCUCGGACUGUGAUUCUUGGCUCAUCUGUGAGCGCCUACAUCCACAAAGGAUUCCACACACCGUUGAAACUGUUUCUUCCUCUGGGAGAAUUCUGCUUUGCUCCGAUAUCAACGCUGGCAGCCCGGCACGUAGAUCGGACUCAAUCGUUAGUCAGCGAUUGUUGGAUACGUUCUCUCAUCAUCGAAAGCUCCAUCAUUUUUCCUGCAGUCGGGGCAUCUCUGCCGUUUGAGUAUGGGUCUCGGCCUUACUCCGGUAGAGCUCUGCCUUGUUCUUGCCAACAACCAACAAUGCUUCCAUCCAAGUGCUGGGAUAGUUUGCCACCCGAUAUCUCGGACUGCGAUUCUUGGCUCAUCUGUGAGCGCCUACAUCCACAAAGGAUUCCACACACCGUUGAAACUGUUUCUUCCUCUGGGAGAAUUCUGCUUUGCUCCGAUAUCAACGCUGGCAGCCCGGCACGUAGAUCGGACUCAAUCGUUAGUCAGCGAUUGUUGGAUACGUUCUCUCAUCAUCGAAAGCUCCAUCAUUUUUCCUGCAGUCGGGGCAUCUCUGCCGUUUGAGUAUGGGUCUCGACUUUACUCCGGUAGAGCUCUGCCUUGUUCUUGCCAACAACCAACAAUGCUUCCAUCCAAGUGCUGGGAUAGUUUGCCGAACGUUUUCUCGGACUGUGAUUCAUGGCUCAUCUGUGAGCGCCUACAUUGACAAGGGAUUGCACACACCGUUGAAACUGUUUCUUCCUCUGGGAGAAUUCUGCUUCGCAGCGGUUUAAAAAUGGAACAACAUCAACAACUUACUUUACACGACGAAUUCUUAUAAUUAAGUCCGAUUUCAACGCAACCAUUUUAGCGCACGCACAAUAUGGUGCCAAUCUCAAUCAUUAUCCUCCGCCUGCUUCUGUUAAAACCUUGCAGUCAUGAUCACCAUCAUCACCACAAAAAUUUAGUUUGAGGUUUGGUAGAUAUGAUUCGAUCGAAAUAUUGAAAAAUAUCUUACACUUCGUUUUGUUCUUCUCUUUCAGAUACAACAUUCGGGCAUUGUUCAAUCUAUGGUAUCCAUCAAACAAAUCUCUAAGAUGCUGGACAUUACUUCGUCUGAAUAUAAACAGCUUCGUUUGAAAAUGAUACCUAAUUGUAAUCAGCGAUCUUCAUCAAGCCAUCAACACCACAACAAGAAAAUCGGCCCUUUUCAGGGCCACCAAGUGUU